GGACCGAACAGCGCAUAUGUUCGCCGUCCGUGGCGAACUGUUCGGGACAUCACUAUUUAUAUUAUCAGAAUAAAUAAACCACCUAAAACUUCAAAAGAGCAAUAAUUAAGAAUAUUUAGUAAUAGCUUGAAAAACCAAAUACAAUGCGUCUUCUUAGAGUGACCCCUCACAAAAUUCUUACAUUACUAACAGCAUUCAAGUUGACAAUGAAUAAAGUAAAAGAACUUUUAUUGAUGUGAAAGUUCACAUAUCUUGACAGAACAGAAAAUAUUUAAAGAGUUAAUCCAAACAAAAACAGUGUUUUAAUAGUAACCCUUUUUGGCAUGGUCCCCCUUAAUUAACCUAUUAAAAAAUUAAAAAAAAGAAAAAAUGUACCUGCAAUCCAACACUUUUGUUCUGAUCAUGCUAAUGACCUCUGUCAGCAAGAAAGAAGAGUGCAAGGAAAACCAUGACUUUCCUGAAGCCAUGUAUAUGGUUACAUAUUUACUUGUUGAUAAGCCCUUUAAAGCAGUACUGUAAUAUUUUAGUGACAGUUCCACAUCCCCUCACCCCAGUAAAUGCAAUUGAAGUAAUUACUGGGCUGGCAAGUUCUGUGGAGGUAAACAUUAAUUAAACAUGCCUCAGCAGCAUUUUAUUCCUUGAUGGAACAACUUGUAUGCUUGGACAUUUUCCUAAAAAGUGCCUUAGGAGUGCAUGCAAACUGGUGUAUUCAUUCCAUAAUACUGAAUGCUUUUGUGCAUCCUCAUGACUCCACCUUGAACAGCUGCAUGGGGAUUAAAUUAAUCUGCAUCAUAUGCCCUGGCUGUGCCAGGACAGCUUGGCAAACUAUAUAAAUACAUAUUACAGAAUUGCUCUUUGAUGCACAAUAAAUUAAUAUUGUAAAUCUAAGAUUAAUUUAUUGUUUUUUUUUUUUUUUUUUAUCCUUCUAUAAUAUCCUGCUGUAUCUCUCACCACUUUAAAUUGAGUAGUGUAUCUUUGCAAUUUCUGUUGGCAUUUCUAAUUAGAUCCUGAUUAGCAUUGUCAUCUGUGUUAAUUUGUGGAAUAUUGCUAAUGUAUUAUGUAGUUAUACAUGCUUCAGGUAUAGGUCUUAGUACUAGGUACACAGCAAUUAUUCAUACUAUUCAAUAUUGUAAUCUUUACUGGACAAUUUGCAUUUUAAUGGAAAAUAACCAAAAUAUUUUUUAAAGUAAUGCCUAUAUUUGCAUUAUUGUUAUGCUAAUAUAACUCAUAUCUCAAAAAAGGAUGUUGGUAUAAUAAUUGUAGCAUGCAUUCUCUAUGCUAGUGACCAGAAUCUGGCAUGUAUUUUAACAGGGAUGAUCUGCACACAGCAGAAAUCCGACCUUACUGUAUGGAACCAAUGGCAUGCAACUCAGUAGUGAAGAGAGCACUAUAAUCUAUAUGUAAAAUAUAGACCAUAAUUAGCAUGUACAAAUGUUGUGAUGGUGUCAGCAAAUGUAGGUUUAAAAUACUAGGGAUUUAGCGGACCUUGUUUAGCUCUGUAGAGGAUAUGCUGCAACCCUUCAGUGUGCAUCUCAGCUUUCACGUUGCUUUUAAUUGUACCUAUCUGUCAUUGAAACUGUUACGUUUCAUCGUGUUGUAAUAUUUUAUCGUUUUUUUUGAAUGGCAAAAAGAAAAAAAUGCGGUUUGUGCAGAAAAAAAUAAUUUUUUAUUUUUUUUUUAGUUUCAGAAUUAUGAUGUUGAUUGGAAUAUAAUAAUUGAUUGAUGGGGAUCAGUUUUUACUGUGAUAUAUUGCAGUUUUCCCAUUUCGGGACAUAUAUUAUUAUAUCACAGGCAGCGUCUUUGCUUGGAGUUGUCUGACAUAGGUUUUGUCCAGCAACUCUUAACAGGUAAAAUGCCACCCAAUUGUGAGGUCUUACAGUGUGAGGUACUGGUGAGACUGCAAUUCCGGGUUAUUAACUCUGGCUAUGAUGGAGAAUGUUAUCAGAAGAUAAAAAACAGCAGCUUUAGGUUAUGUCACUAUCCUGAUGUAGCACGGUAUAUAUAAUGCUAGAUUUUCAGGCCAGUAGCACUUUGGGCACUACCAGAUGUAAAAAUCGAGAUUUCCUUGUUUCUGCCUCAAAAACAAAGUUAAAGGACCACUACAGGCCCCCAGACCACUUCAGCUUAAUGAAGUGGUCUGGGUGCCAGGUCCAGCUAGGAUUAACCCUUUCUUCUAUAAACAUAGCAGUUUUAGAGAAACUGCUAUGUUUACAUAUGGGUUAAUCCAGCCUCUAGUGGCUGUCUCAUUGACAGCCACUAGAGGUGCUUCCACGCUUCUCACUGUGAUUUUCACAGUGAGAAGAUGCCAGCGUCCAUAGGAAAGCAUUGGGAAUGCUUUCCUAUGGACUAGCUGAAUGCGCGUGUGGCUCGUGCCGCGCAUUCGCAUUCAGCCGAUGAUGACGAGAAGGAGGAGGAGAAAGGGGUAAAUUUAACCCCUUUCACCACCUAGAGCCCGGCGGGAGGGGGGCCCUGAGGGUGUGGGCGACCUAGAGACGAGUAUGUUUUCCUGGCACUAUAGUGGUCCUUUAAAGUAAUGUUUUGGUGGGUUGGGCAUAUCUCAUAUGUAACAGGAAAUGAUUAUGGUCAAAGGCCAAAUGUGGGUGGAAACCUGCUAGUAUGUGGAGUGGCUAAUCUUUAGAUGCAUCCCUAUAAGUGUAAUACACCGGGCAAGUUCACAGCCUCCAUAAUGACAACUCUGACCUUUACUGGGGAAUCAAGGUCAUAUUCUCUCAAUUGCCCAAAGACACCACUUCUGCUCCAGUGCACAUUUACUUCAACUGUUAUCCGUCCUGUAAAAUAGCAGGCCCCCCUUAUCUAAUUCUGAAUCCCAUUUUUUAGGAAAUGCUGCAAGGACUGGAAUCCUGCUGGCUUGCUCAGAUUAAUGGCAACUAUAGUUAUUUAUCCUUCAAAAUAUAUCAAUCUACAAAGUAUUCUUUAUUUUGUUACUUUUAUAUAAAGCAGAAGAUUUGUAAACCAUGCUGCUAAAUUACCAAUAUAAUUAGAGUUUGUAUUAAUGAAUAUUCUUCGGGAUCAACUGAGGAACGCUGCUUAAUUUCAUUAAUAUGAAGAACAUUACAUUAUUAUUUCUGAUGCACAGGAAACCAUCUUGUUCAGGAUAAACCCAGCUCAUUAUCUCACCUUACUUUACCCGUACGAGGAUUAUUUCAGUUUAGAUGAAAUUGCAGGGAGUAUUAAUAGACUUUUCAUAUCUCUUGUUCUAACUUUCUAUGAUAUAAGAGAUAAACCAAGCAAUAAUGGAAUAUCAGGGCCAUCAGUACCAUUUAAAUUCGUUUUGUAAAUAAUUAAUUUGAGCUAGAAUAUUAUAUUUUUUUCAUGUUAAAAAUAUCAGAUAAUAUUUAUAUACAAAAAAAAUAAAAUCCCAAUGCAAUAUAGACCAAAAAAUCUUUAAUUCUGAAUUCUUCACCAUCAGUUCUUUGGGUGUCACAAUAGUGCAAUGAUCUUCUCCUCAUAUUGGACCAAGAUGGGUCUAUCACACUGACUGACCCAGUUAACAUUCACUGUUCAAUAAGAAGUGCUGCUUUUUAAGGAAUGUUUUUGUUGAAUAUUUUAGGUCAAAAUAUCUGGGCUGUAAAAAAAAAAACUAGCAGAGGUGGAGAGUUUUUCCAAUUCUGCGAUCUUGGCAAAACAUGUUGGAUUGGUCAUACCCAUAAUAAACCGAUCCACAUGGAAAAGGGACAGACCUGCCUGAAACGGGGCAGGCUCUCCUACGGAAGGGACCAGUAUGGCUGGCCCCCAACCAGCAAGACCUUGCAGACAGCAUCACUCUUUGAUGCCUGAGGACAGUUCACUGGUGUCCCUGUGAUGCAGGAACACCAUGGAACUGAAUCAGGACAGCGAGAUGGGAACCUGCAAUCAAGACUGUUCAACCAAAAUCUGUACCAUGUGCGUGACUUAUAAUUAGGUGAUGUCUCUUUUGGCGAAAAGGAAGAGAUUGUUCACUGGUGACCAAUUCUUCUUUUUCAGAGAUUCUAAGAUGAUAGCUAAAGUUUUUCAAAACCAUGUAAACUGAAGAUCAUGAUACUUAUGUAUGGUUGUAAAAAAACACCAUUAUUCAGAAUUUACCAAUCAAAAUAUACACUGAAAGCACUGAUAUUAAUAUACCCCACAAUUAUGGUAAUGGCAAUCUAUGUUAAAUUGACACAUAGUUUGACACAUAGUUUGUCUAUAGGAAUUAACUUUUCCUUAUUGGGGUGAUUGAAGCUAUAGGACUGUAUCCCUCAUAAUCCUCCAUGCACUCUAGGAAUUACAGUUUGUUGUCCGAGCAACCACUGCAGAGGCAAAUCCUAAGAUAAUGGCUUUUUAUAGCGAGUUCAGACUGCACAAAAGAUGGUUAUCCUGCUGUGUUAGACCACCACGCGUGGACACAUAUGUAUUUUAAAUUCGGCACAAAACAUAAACAUGUUUGCGUUGAUCUGAAGAACUACAAAAUAUGUCGUAUAUACUAUAAAUCCAGCCUACUUAUCUAAUGAUGGGAUUAUUUUAUUCUGUUAUCUAUUCUCUGUUUACUUUAAUGUUACUUCCAUACACUUAAACUGUUUUUGUUUUGUUUUUUAAUGCUUAUAGUUUGUAAAGUUGAGUGGCAUAACAUAAUAUACUUUGUCUAUAUGUACAACCUGUAUGUGAAAUACGUUUUCAUUUUGUGAAUGUGAAUAUUGUUUGCUGUCUAAAAUACUGCAACGUGUCACAGUAUACCUGCUUCUUGAUUUCUUUUUUAUUAUAUAAAUCAUUUAUUUUAACUGACAGAGGUAGUUUUCGUUGUAACCAUUUAUGUAGCACUGAACCUGUGAUAGUUAUCUGACUAUCUGACCGUUGCCAGUUGUACCACCUGUUUAAUAUCUGUAUGCCCAAGCUGGCUCCUUAGAUUUAGAUGAGUCAGUCAUUACUAAUUUAUAUUAAAAAUAAAGACAUGAUGGGGGAGGAAUGUAUCAAAUCCAUCUCACAGAUGCUGCUGCUGUAGAAUAAUGUCAAUAAUCAAACAGUUGUGUUUAAACAUCUAACAGAAUAGCUUGGCUGCCAGUCAUGGGUGUUAUUGUCCACAACAACAUGCAACAUAACUGACUUGGCUCCACAAUGAUCAUUGCACUUCAUCUUCCGCUGUGCUCAUAAUGGAAUAGGAAGCACUGGAUGGGGAGUAUUAUAGACAAUUACAGAAUAUUAAUCCAAGAAGUCUCAUUUGAAAAACACAGAAUCCUUUAAUUGUAUUCUUACAUGGGGAAUAUUAAAUGAACGAAUAUAUGUAAAAUAAUUAUCUAAAAAAAACAUUUGAGCAAGCAUUUCUUGCAAUAAUCUCCAUGUGUUAUUUACAUCCUGUCAGUACUGUAGAAAACAAUUUCUGAUCCUGAUGCAAGGGUCUCAGAGCACCAGCCUGCAGGCCAUUUCCAGCCCCCUUUAUACUUUCACACAGCCAUCCUUUAUGGUUUUACAGGGACAAUCCUGGUAUAUGGCCAUGAUUAUUGCCUUGUUUAAUCUCAAUGGGUAGCACUGGCUUUUUUUUUAUGCUUAAGGCAGUCUCAUUACUAAAGUUUUGAUUGCGGGCUGGAACCUCAGUGAUAUGCCUAGCUAGAGUACGUAAGCUAGAGUACACAAAGAGACAGCUUUUAUCAAGAAUUCAACUAGGGGACAGGAGGAGUGCAUGUCAUAUGUGUAGCUGUGAACCUCUAAGUAUUGGAGUGUGUAGUUACUUAUUUGUGUGGGAGUGAACAGCUCUGUGAGUAUGGGGAUGUCUUGUUGUGUCACAACACUGCUACUACCUGCCUAUCCUCAUUAAUUUACAAGUAUGCCCUGUCCAGGCCCCAAUGCUCUUCUGAAGACCUGCGUCUAUUCUCUGUUUGCACUCGCACCUCUGACACUCCCCUUCCAGACUUCUUAAGACUUUAGACCCUCACCCAAUCUCCAUUCCUUCAAAAUAUAAUUGAAAGCUCACUUCUUUAAGAAAGCAUACAAGUAAAACUGUUAAUGGCUUUAUCUAUCCACUUUGCUUGCUCUCCUGCAAUUGUGUAACCUAAAACACUAAGCCUUAAUUGUAAACUAUUCUAGCAACCUACUUUUCCCGCAGAUGAAAUACGUUCUACCCUUGCCUCUUGUUUAACUUUAUCCCACUCCCUCUAGAUAUAAUGUAAGUUCAUUUGAGCAGGCCCUUAGCACCCUCUGUUCCUGUGCGACCAACCCGUCUUGUCACAGAUACUUGUCCUUUAGUCUACCCCUUAUAUAGAGCUGUGGAAUUUGUUAGCACUUCGUAAAUAAUAAUAAUAAUAGUAAGAGCGUGUGUAUCUGUGUGUCUGUGCAUGGGAUUUUGUAGCUGUGUCUGUGCAUAUGAUUGUGUAGCUGUGUGUGCAUAAGAAUGUGUAGCUGUCUGUGUGACUAUAAAUAAGGAUCUGUGCAUGUCUGCACAGGGUUGAGAAUACAAAUCUGCCCCUGCCCCACUACCCACGGCAUAAGCAAACUUAGUCAGUAACCCUCAAGUAAAAGUGGUCUUUGAGUUCCCUGCCCUAAAGGGUUAGCAGAAACAAAAGCUAACUUAGAUGUCCUUAAUUAUUUAUUGUGGAUGGAAGUGUUAGUUUUAAGGCGGCUAAAGGUGUUCAUUUUGUAAGAUUAAGUUCUCAUAUUUAAACCUUUAAAAUUUGAGGGAAAAAACAACAUACGUUAUUUUAUAUGAGCCCUGCUUUUCUGCUUUAGUUGUGUAGACAAAGGAUCUUUUUUUAUUAAUAUACAUUAAAAGGCAAAUAUCGCCACCUGUCCUGUUAAAUUUAAUCCCUCAGGGUGUACAUGCUUUAACCCGUUGAGCAAAUUGUUAAGAUUUACUUCAAUGUAUUAGCAGACAGCUAGACCAUUUUCUUCAGAGGGUGGUGUUACUCGCUAAACAGCAAUAAGUGGUACGUUGCCGAACCAGUUACAAACUUUCUAUCAUGAUAGCAAAGCUGGAAUUUCUCUGACUCACUUUUUUACCCUAAAUAUUGCAAUUCAGUUUAAAACUAAUUUUGUCUCACAGUUUGGCUAGCAAACCCGCAAGUGUCAGUGGAUUUAAACUACAUUUCUCCCUUAAUGUCCCCAUCAGUCCUGCAAGCAGUAUUGUCAUCCAAAACAUCUUUAAUCUAUUCCUAAAAUGAUGCUAAAUAUAUAUGUCGGGUUGAUAUCUGAUAAUACAUACCUUUUAAGGUGUACUUAAACCCCUUAAGGACCAAACUUCUGUCACACAUGUCAUGUGUCCUUAAGGGGUUAAACUAAUGUGGAUAAUACAUACCUUUUAAGGUGUAUUUAAACCCCUUAAGGACCAAACUUCUGUCACACAUGUCAUGUGUCCUUAAGGGGUUAAACUAAUGUGGAUAAUACAUACCUUUUAAGGUGUACUUAAACCCCUUAAGGACCAAACUUCUGUCACACAUGUCAUGUGUCCUUAAGGGGUUAAACUAAUGUGGUAAGCACUAUGCCUAUGCAAUGUUAGUUCCCAGCAUGUACCAUGCAGUCUAUUUUGUGUAUUGUAAACGCUUUCUCGCAUACUAUACAAUGGAAGCAAGGAUUAAUAAGACAGGAAGACUUCCUAGAGAGGCAAAGCGUACCAUGCAAGACUGUAAAAUAAUGAUAAUCCCAAACAUAAUAAACAAUUUACAGAUUUUAACAAAACAUAUGGAGGUCUAUUCGGUAAAUGAGUUGUUGUGAUAAGCAUCCUCCAUGAUUACAUUUCAAAUAGUCAAGGUGGAAAUAUAUAUGUUUCAUCCUAGGCAUAAUUUGGAGAUAUAAAUUAUUAGUAUUAUGUCUGAACGUUUGCAAGGCAGUUUUCAAGUUACCACCACUUGCUGUCUAGUGAACAGCCCCCCAUAUAUAUUUUUGCCAUGCUGUAUUCGUGAAAAACUGCCAAUAGCACGCAUGUCCACUUUGAAGUAUUUUAAGGUCCUGUAAUAUGCGUUCAAAUGUAGAACUGUUCUAAUGCAGGAAAUGUCCUUUAAAUUGGUACAUCACAUUGUCAUUUGGCUAAAAUGGUUUCAGUAAGUCAUUAUUAGGGAAACAUUAGCAAUGCAAACUGACCUGAGGAUCAGGCUAGGAAAGGUUAAAAAUAUUGUAUUAAAUACCCCACUCAGAUUUCAUAGCCAGUGCCUUUACAAGGUUGUGUGCCUUAUAUUGACAGUCUUAAACCUUUCAGUGCCAGAAAACAUAUGAAUUGCAAUGUUGUAUGUAUGGCAUUAAAAGGCUUUACGAUCAUGAGUGACCUUCUCAAUCUUUUCAAGGGAAAGAAUGAAAGAAUAUGCAGGUUCAAGUGUAUACAUCAUAAGCAGACUAGAAGAAAAUGUGUAUUGUAUUACUAUAACGUUAAUACUCUUGUAAUGUCUUUUUUGUCCUCCUGUUUGUGUGUACAUUUCUAUGUAUGUAGAUAUAUAUAUAUAUCUGUUUUACCUUUUGUAAUGUAUGUAAAAUGUAGCAAUGUUUUGCAUUUUUAAAUGUAAAGCGAGAUCUCAAAUGUAUGACAUUUAAGUGCUUUGUGUUUUAUUUAGUAAUAUGUAGAUUUUUUUUCUUUUCUUUAAAUUUGGUAAUUUUUCUUUGAGCGAAAAUAUGUUACAAUAAAAUUGUGGUUGACCAUGUAAUUUUUUUUUAUUAUUAUUGUGUACCUUUAUAGAAAAGUAAACAAGAAUUUACAAAUACAACAUAAUCAAAUAUAUUUAAAUAGAUUCUAAUCCUAGUAGACAAAAUCAAGUCGCUGACCAGUGGGUACCACAUUUGAAUUUUUGUGUUGGUAGCACAAUAUAGUAAGAUACAAGCCUUUAUUGGCUUUAUUAUACAAAACACUCUACAUUAAUGAAGUCAGAAAUUCAAUAAGCAACAACAAAAAAGGAACUGUAUAUAGAAAAAUGUGUACUC
rnacentral:lncRNA from 1 species